rnacentral:rRNA from 1 species
AAUACUGUUUGAUCCUGGCUCAGGAUGAACGCUAGCGACAGGCUUAACACAUGCAAGUCGAGGGGCAGCACGGGAGUAGCAAUACAACUGGUGGCGACCGGCGCACGGGUGAGUAACGCGUAUGCAACCUACCUAUCAGAGGGGAAUAACCCGGCGAAAGUCGGACUAAUACCGCAUAAAACAGGGACACCGCAUGGUGCUAUUUGUUAAAGAAAUUCGCUGAUAGAUGGGCAUGCGUUCCAUUAGGUAGUUGGUGAGGUAACGGCUCACCAAGCCGACGAUGGAUAGGGGAACUGAGAGGUUGGUCCCCCACACUGGUACUGAGACACGGACCAGACUCCUACGGGAGGCGGCAGUGAGGAAUAUUGGUCAAUGGGCGGGAGCCUGAACCAGCCAAGUCGCGUGAAGGAAGAAGGAUCUAUGGUUCGUAAACUUCUUUUGCAGGGGAAUAAAGUGCAGGACGUGUCCUGUUUUGUAUGUACCCUGAGAAUAAGGAUCGGCUAACUCCGUGCCAGCAGCCGCGGUAAUACGGAGGAUCCGAGCGUUAUCCGGAUUUAUUGGGUUUAAAGGGUGCGUAGGUGGUUUGAUAAGUCAGCGGUGAAAGUUUGCAGCUUAACUGUAAAAAUGCCGUUGAAACUG